UCUGGGUCGGGGUUUCGUACGUAGCAGA
rnacentral:piRNA from 9 species